UUUCCGUAGGUGAACCUGCGGAAGGAUCAUUAAUGUGUUUGGGCCUCACGGCUCUUCAUUCCGACGCUGUGCGCCUUCGGGCUGCACGCUGAGGGAGCAUAUAUCCACCCCUGUGCACACACACGGUGGCGAGCUGGGUAACGGCUCGCCGCUGAUCUUUACACACGUCUAAAAGUCAUUGUAUGUUUAUUUGAGAUAAAAACACAACUUUCAGCAACGGAUCUCUUGGCUCUCGCAUCAUGAAGAACGCAGC
rnacentral:misc_RNA from 1 species